rnacentral:rRNA from 1 species
AACGAACGCUGGCGGCAUGCCUUACACAUGCAAGUCGAACGCGAAAGUGUCUUCGGACAUUAGUAGAGUGGCAAACGGGUGAGUAACGCGUGGAAAACUACCUUAUAGUACGGAAUAGCCUUGGGAAACUGGGAUUAAUACCGUAUAUUCCCUCAGGGGGAAAGAUUUAUCGCUAUAAGAUGUGCCCGCGUCAGAUUAGCUAGUUGGUGGGGUAAUAGCCUACCAAGGCAACGAUCUGUAGCUGGUCUGAGAGGACGAUCAGCCACACUGGGACUGAGACACGGCCCAGACUCCUACGGGAGGCAGCAGUGGGGAAUAUUGGACAAUGGACGCAAGUCUGAUCCAGCAAUGCCGCGUGAAUGAUGAAGGCCUUAGGGUUGUAAAGUUCUUUAAGUGGGGAAGAUAAUGACGGUACCCACAGAAUAAGCACCGGCUAACUUCGUGCCAGCCGCCGCAGUAA